rnacentral:rRNA from 1 species
GACGAACGCUGGCGGCGUGCUUAACACAUGCAAGUCGAACGAAGAGCGAUGGAAGCUUGCUUCUAUCAAUCUUAGUGGCGCACGGGUGAGUAACGCGUAAUCAACCUGCCCUUCAGAGGGGGACAACAGUUGGAAACGACUGCUAAUACCGCAUACGAUCUAAUCUCGGCAUCGAGGAUAGAUGAAAGGUGGCCUCUACAUGUAAGCUAUCACUGAAGGAGGGGAUUGCGUCUGAUUAGCUAGUUGGAGGGGUAACGGCCCACCAAGGCGAUGAUCAGUAGCCGGUCUGAGAGGAUGAACGGCCACAUUGGGACUGAGACACGGCCCAGACUCCUACGGGAGGCAGCAGUGGGGAAUCUUCCGCAAUGGACGAAAGUCUGACGGAGCAACGCCGCGUGAGUGAUGACGGCCUUCGGGUUGUAAAGCUCUGUUAAUCGGGACGAAAGGCCUUCUUGCGAAUAGGGAGAAGGAUUGACGGUACCGGAAUAGAAAGCCACGGCUAACUACGUG